GGUGGUCAGCUGGCAGGAGACCAGCUUUGGAAUAUUUGCCGCUGUACAUUCAGACCUUAUGGAUUUUGUCUGCCAGUUUCUAGAGCCAAAUGUACCUCAAGCCAUAAACAGGAGGUUCAUUAUCAAAUGAUUUCCAUGAGGUCGAGAGGUUUCCAGCAGUGAAUGGAGCAUCUCAGCCUUGGUUUCACAAAGGAGAGAUGGACCUAGGUGCACAAGGAUCUGUCAUGUGCAAUUGUGUUUACUUGUGCCUGUUUGCUAACCUCCAGCUUCGUGGAACAGGUCCCCUGAUCUGGUUCACAGCAUGGCCCUGCCAGGAGCUGGAAUUGGGAAGAUUGAGGAGUGAUGCAAUGUGGCAUGAGGACAAAAAAGGUGGAACUGGGUGUUGGGAUGUUUCUGAGGCCACAGGAUCAGAAAACUGUGGCCUUUCUGCUGCCAGCCUGAGGCGAGCCUCAAUUUCUAGCCACUGGUGA
rnacentral:lncRNA from 1 species